CGGCGAGUGAAGCGGCAACAGCUCAAAUUUGAAAUCUGGCCCUUGGGUCCGAGUUGUAAUUUGUAGAGGAUGCUUUUGGUACGGUGCCUUCCGAGUUCCCUGGAACGGGACGCCAUAGAGGGUGAGAGCCCCGUCUGGUUGGACACCAAGCCUCUGUAAAGCUCCUUCGACGAGUCGAGUAGUUUGGGAAUGCUGCUCUAAAUGGGAGGUAUAUGUCUUCUAAAGCUAAAUACCGGCCAGAGACCGAUAGCGCACAAGUAGAGUGAUCGAAAGAUGAAAAGCACUUUGAAAAGAGGGUUAAAUAGUACGUGAAAUUGUUGAAAGGGAAGCGCUUGUGACCAGACUUGAGCCCGGUUAAUCAUCCAGCCUUCUGGCUGGUGCACUUGGCCGGCUCAGGCCAGCAUCAGUUCGGCGCGGGGGAUAAAGGCUUCGGGAAUGUGGCUCCUCCGGGAGUGUUAUAGCCCGUUGUGUAAUACCCUGUACUGGACUGAGGUUCGCGCAUCUGCAAGGAUGCUGGCGUAAUGGUCAUCAGCGACCCGUCUUGAAACACGGACCAAGGAGUCGUCUUCGUAUGCGAGUGUUCGGGUGUCAAACCCCUACGCGUAAUGAAAGUGAACGCAGGUGAGAGCUUCGGCGCAUCAUCGACCGAUCCUGAUGUUCUCGGACGGAUUUGAGUAAGAGCAUACGGAGCCGGACCCGAAAGAAGGUGAACUAUGCCUGUAUAGGGUGAAGCCAGAGGAAACUCUGGUGGAGGCUCGCAGCGGUUCUGACGUGCAAAUCGAUCGUCAAAUAU
rnacentral:rRNA from 1 species